rnacentral:rRNA from 1 species
AGUGAACGCUGGCGGUAGGCCUAACACAUGCAAGUCGAACGGCAGCACAGUAAGAGCUUGCUCUUACGGGUGGCGAGUGGCGGACGGGUGAGGAAUACAUCGGAAUCUACUUUUUCGUGGGGGAUAACGUAGGGAAACUUACGCUAAUACCGCAUACGACCUACGGGUGAAAGCAGGGGAUCUUCGGACCUUGCGCGAUUGAAUGAGCCGAUGUCGGAUUAGCUAGUUGGCGGGGUAAAGGCCCACCAAGGCGACGAUCCGUAGCUGGUCUGAGAGGAUGAUCAGACAGACUGGGGCUGAGACACGGACAAGACUGCGAGGGGAGGAAGCAGUGGGGAAUGUACCGCAAUGGGAGAAAGAAUGACGGAGCAAUGCCGCGUGGAGGUAGAAGGCCCGCGGGUCAUGAACUUCUUUGCUCGGAGAUGAAACAAUGACGGUACCUGAGGAAUAAGCAUCGGCUAACUCUGUG